UCUGUCUCCUUCAUUUAUUCAUUCAUUGAACUGUUUUUAUUUCUACAUAGAAAUAUGUGCUGUAUCACGUCAUUUAAAGAAAGAAAUUGAAAGACGCUUCAAACUUAUUUGUCAAGCAGCAAACCCAGCAAUGAAUACUGUAUCAACUACUGACUUUAUGUCAAGGUAUUGUACUAAUCUUGGUCUUCUAUUAGCAGUUGAGUUCAGUUUGGUAUGGGUGUGAUUGAGCCUGCCUUAAAACCAGUGGAGUCAUCAGUAAUGAUGAAUGGUACUACUCCUGGGUUGACAAAUGGUGGAUACAAGAUAAGGGAGCUUGGCUGAUAGGCUGAGUGUGUUUAGUUACUCCUAGUGUUGUAUCAGAGGAUAAUGGCUCCCAUGCUUACCUCAGUGGACUUUCUUGUGGUGCUGUCCUCAGAGAGAAGGCUCCAGUCUUGAUACACUAACAGUACUUGGUUCUCAUAAAGGUGACGUCAUUCUCCUAGCUAAUGACAGUUCUUUAAACACCUCCUCCUCCUCCCAGCAACAAUCUCUGACUCUCUCUUUAGCCUUCAGUAUAGAGCCUAACAUGGAGUCCUUCCAGUAUGAUGAUACUCUUCCACAAUAUGUCGGGAAGUUGAAUGACGUCCUUUUUUAAUGGCCACUGCUGUUCACUCUCAUCGAGGACGGAAUUGUGUUGGUCUACAGUGUCUCUAAUGCUAUGAUCAUUGCUGCCAUUCAUCCACUGGAAUACUGUAGAAUGUUUAGCUAUAACACUCCAGAUGGUCCCUCCCUCUUACAAACUCUGUCUUUGUCAUCAUUUCAUAAAAUCUCUGUCUCUCCUGAUCUAGGAGUGUCUCUUAAUUGAUUGGAUCAAUGUUCCCUCCCACUCAAUGCACUGGAGACUGGAACUGAGACAUAGUGUCAUUCUUCUUUAGGAAUAGAGUUAUAAACAGAACAGAACAAAGUAAGAUACUAUAGGCAGCCAUCUUAACAAAGUAAGUGAUAAUAGAAAAUAAUAAUUUCAACAAACGAAAGAACUAGGCAAUUAACUGGUUUGAUGUAUAGUAUUUAUCUCUAGUGUUAGUAGCAAUAGAUUUCUCUUCUAUUGUAUCCAGUGCUGUAGCUAAUGAUGACCAACUGGGACCUCCUUUCUCUCUCACUUUAUCUUCUCCUCUUAACCAGGCUGACAUACAAGCAUGAAAACAUUUUACUGGAUUUCC